UGGGGAAUAUUGCACAAUGGAGGGAACUCUGAUGCAGCGACGCCGCGUGAACGAAGAAGGCUUUCGAGUCGUAAAGUUCUUUUAUAUGGGAAGAUAAUGACGGUACCAUAAGAAGAAGCCCCGGCUAACUACGUGCCAGCAGCCGCGGUAAUACGUAGGGGGCUAGCGUUGUCCGGAAUCACUGGGCGUAAAGGGUUCGCAGGCGGAAAUGCAAGUCAGCUGUAAAAGGCAGUAGCUUAACUACUGUAAGCAUUUGAAACUGCAUAUCUUGAGAAGAGUAGAGGUAAGUGGAAUUUUUAGUGUAGCGGUGAAAUGCGUAGAUAUUAAAAAGAAUACCGGUGGCGAAGGCGACUUACUGGGCUCAUUCUGACGCUGAGGAACGAAAGCGUGGGUAGCAAACAGG
rnacentral:rRNA from 1 species